rnacentral:rRNA from 1 species
UCGGGAAUUUUGGGCAAUGGGCGAAAGCCUGACCCAGCAACGCCGCGUGAAGGAUGAAGUAUUUCGGUAUGUAAACUUCGAAAGAAUAGGAAGAAUAAAUGACGGUACUAUUUAUAAGGUCCGGCUAACUACGUGCCAGCAGCCGCGGUAAUACGUAGGGACCAAGCGUUGUUCGGAUUUACUGGGCGUAAAGGGCGCGUAGGCGGCAAUUCAAGUCAUCUGUGAAAUCUCCGGGCUUAACUCGGAACGGUCAGAUGAUACUGCUUUGCUAGAGUGCAGAAGGGGCAAUCGGAAUUCUUGGUGUAGCGGUGAAAUGCGUAGAUAUCGUGGGGAACACCAAAGGCGAAGGCAGCGCACUGGCCAAAAUCUGACGCUCACACACGAAAGCUAGGGUAGCGAAGAGGAUUAGAUACCCACGUAGUCCCUGAGCGGGCUGGCAAGGCGCAU